rnacentral:rRNA from 1 species
UACGUAGGUGGCAAGCGUUAUCCGGAUUUAUUGGGCGUAAAGAGAACGCAGGCGGUCUUUUUAAGUCUGAUGUGAAAGCCUUCGGCUUAACCGGAGUAGUGCAUUGGAAACUGGGAGACUUGAGUGCAGAAGAGGAGAGUGGAACUCCAUGUGUAGCGGUGAAAUGCGUAGAUAUAUGGAAGAACACCAGUGGCGAAGCGGCUCUCUGGUCUGUAACUGACGCUGAGGUUCGAAAGCGAUGGGUAGCUAACGG